GUUAAGUUAGAAAGGGCGCACGGUGGAUGCCUUGACACUAGGAGUCGAUGAAGGACGGGACUAACGCCGAUAUGCUUCGGGGAGCUGUAAGUAAGCUUUGAUCCGAAGAUUUCCGAAUGGGGAAACCCACCAUACGUAAUGGUAUGGUAUCCUUAUCUGAAUACAUAGGGUAAGGAAGACAGACCCAGGGAACUGAAACAUCUAAGUACCUGGAGGAAGAGAAAGCAAAUGCGAUUUCCUGAGUAGCGGCGAGCGAAACGGAACAUAGCCCAAACCAAGAGGCUUGCCUCUUGGGGUUGUAGGACAUUCUAUACGGAGUUACAAAGGAACGAGGUAGACGAAGCGACCUGGAAAGGUCCGUCGUAGAGGGUAACAACCCCGUAGUCGAAACUUCGUUCUCUCUUGAAUGUAUCCUGAGUACGGCGGAACACGUGAAAUUCCGUCGGAAUCUGGGAGGACCAUCUCCCAAGGCUAAAUACUCCCUAGUGAUCGAUAGUGAACCAGUACCGUGAGGGAAAGGUGAAAAGCACCCCGGAAGGGGAGUGAAAGAGAUCCUGAAACCGUGUGCCUACAAAUAGUCAGAGCCCGUUAACGGGUGAUGGCGUGCCUUUUGUAGAAUGAACCGGCGAGUUACGAUCCCGUGCGAGGUUAAGCUGAAGAGGCGGAGCCGCAGCGAAAGCGAGUCUGAAUAGGGCGUUUAGUACGUGGUCGUAGACCCGAAACCAGGUGAUCUACCCAUGUCCAGGGUGAAGUUCAGGUAACACUGAAUGGAGGCCCGAACCCACGCACGUUGAAAAGUGCGGGGAUGAGGUGUGGGUAGCGGAGAAAUUCCAAUCGAACCUGGAGAUAGCUGGUUCUCCCCGAAAUAGCUUUAGGGCUAGCCUUAAGUGUAAGAGUCUUGGAGGUAGAGCACUGAUUGGACUAGGGGUCCUCAUCGGAUUACCGAAUUCAGUCAAACUCCGAAUGCCAAUGACUUAUCCUUAGGAGUCAGACUGCGAGUGAUAAGAUCCGUAGUCAAAAGGGAAACAGCCCAGACCGCCAGCUAAGGUCCCAAAGUGUGUAUUAAGUGGAAAAGGAUGUGGAGUUGCUUAGACAACUAGGAUGUUGGCUUAGAAGCAGCCACCAUUUAAAGAGUGCGUAAUAGCUCACUAGUCGAGUGACUCUGCGCCGAAAAUGUACCGGGGCUAAAUACACCACCGAAGCUGCGGAUUGAUACCGAAUGGUAUCAGUGGUAGGGGAGCGUUCUAAGGACAGUGAAGUCAGACCGGAAGGACUGGUGGAGUGCUUAGAAGUGAGAAUGCCGGUAUGAGUAGCGAAAGACGGGUGAGAAUCCCGUCCACCGAAUGCCUAAGGUUUCCUGAGGAAGGCUCGUCCGCUCAGGGUUAGUCAGGACCUAAGCCGAGGCCGACAGGCGUAGGCGAUGGACAACAGGUUGAUAUUCCUGUACCACCUCUUUAUCGUUUGAGCAAUGGAGGGACGCAGAAGGAUAGAAGAAGCGUGCGAUUGGUUGUGCACGUCCAAGCAGUUAGGCUGAUAAGUAGGCAAAUCCGCUUAUCGUAAAGGCUGAGCUGUGAUGGGGAAGCUCCUUAUGGAGCGAAGUCUUUGAUUCCCCGCUGCCAAGAAAAGCUUCUAGCGAGAUAAAAGGUGCCUGUACCGCAAACCGACACAGGUAGGCGAGGAGAGAAUCCUAAGGUGUGCGAGAGAACUCUGGUUAAGGAACUCGGCAAAAUGACCCCGUAACUUCGGGAGAAGGGGUGCUUUCUUAACGGAAAGCCGCAGUGAAUAGGCCCAAGCGACUGUUUAGCAAAAACACAGCUCUCUGCGAAGCCGUAAGGCGAAGUAUAGGGGGUGACACCUGCCCGGUGCUGGAAGGUUAAGGAGAGGGGUUAGCGUAAGCGAAGCUCUGAACUGAAGCCCCAGUAAACGGCGGCCGUAACUAUAACGGUCCUAAGGUAGCGAAAUUCCUUGUCGGGUAAGUUCCGACCCGCACGAAAGGUGUAACGAUUUGGGCACUGUCUCAACCAGAGACUCGGUGAAAUUAUAGUACCUGUGAAGAUGCAGGUUACCCGCGACAGGACGGAAAGACCCCGUGGAGCUUUACUGUAGCCUGAUAUUGAAUUUUGGUACAGUUUGUACAGGAUAGGCGGGAGCCUUUGAAACCGGAGCGCUAGCUUCGGUGGAGGCGCUGGUGGGAUACCGCCCUGACUGUAUUGAAAUUCUAACCUACGGGUCUUAUCGACCCGGGAGACAGUGUCAGGUGGGCAGUUUGACUGGGGCGGUCGCCUCCUAAAGUGUAACGGAGGCGCCCAAAGGUUCCCUCAGAAUGGUUGGAAAUCAUUCGUAGAGUGCAAAGGCAUAAGGGAGCUUGACUGCGAGACCUACAAGUCGAGCAGGGACGAAAGUCGGGCUUAGUGAUCCGGUGGUUCCGCAUGGAAGGGCCAUCGCUCAACGGAUAAAAGCUACCCCGGGGAUAACAGGCUUAUCUCCCCCAAGAGUCCACAUCGACGGGGAGGUUUGGCACCUCGAUGUCGGCUCAUCGCAUCCUGGGGCUGUAGUCGGUCCCAAGGGUUGGGCUGUUCGCCCAUUAAAGCGGUACGCGAGCUGGGUUCAGAACGUCGUGAGACAGUUCGGUCCCUAUCCGUCGUGGGCGUAGGAAAUUUGAGAGGAGCUGUCCUUAGUACGAGAGGACCGGGAUGGACGCACCGCUGGUGUACCAGUUGUUCUGCCAAGGGCAUAGCUGGGUAGCUAUGUGCGGAAGGGAUAAGUGCUGAAAGCAUCUAAGCAUGAAGCCCCCCUCAAGAUGAGAUUUCCCAUAGCGUAAGCUAGUAAGAUCCCUGAAAGAUGAUCAGGUUGAUAGGUUCGAGGUGGAAGCAUGGUGACAUGUGGAGCUGACGAAUACUAAUAGAUCGAGGACUUAACCA
rnacentral:rRNA from 1 species